AUUGUCUGUACUGGUGAGAUGAGUCUCUACCUUCUGAGGAACUCUCAUGCCAUUUAUUUGGUGUGGUUGGAAAUCAGGACUGUUACUUUGAAAAAAUUAGAGUGUUUAAAGCAGGCUAACGUCUGAAUACAUUAGCAUGGAAUAAUGAAAUAGGACGGAUUGAUUCUAUUUCGUUGGUUUCUAGGGUCACCGUAAUGAUUAAUAGGGAUAGUUGGGGCAUUAGUAUUCAAUUGUCAGAGGUGAAAUUCUUGGAUUUAUUGAAGACUAACUACUGCGAAAGCAUUUGCCAAGGAUGUUUUCAUUAAUCAAGAACGAAAGUUAGGGGAUCGAAGACGAUCAGAUACCGUCGUAGUCUUAACCAUAAACUAUGCCGACUAGGGAUCGGACGCAGUUAAUUUU
rnacentral:rRNA from 1 species